UACAGAGACUGCAAGCGUUAUUCGGAUUCACUGGGCGUAAAGGGUGCGCAGGCGGUCGGGUGUGUCAGAUGUGAAAUCCCUCGGCUCAACCGGGGAACUGCGUCUGAUACUGGGUGGCUUGAAUUCGGGAGAGGGAUGCGGAAUUCCAGGUGUAGCGGUGAAAUGCGUAGAUAUCUGGAGGAACACCGGUGGCGAAGGCGGCAUCCUGGACCGAGAUUGACGCUGAGGCGCGAAAGCCAGGGGAGCAAACGGG
rnacentral:rRNA from 1 species